rnacentral:tRNA from 1 species
UGCCCCAUGGCCCAGCUGGUUAAGGCGUCCGACUGUUAGGCUUACGUAAGCAAAUAUCGGGAGGUCGAGAGUUCGAUCCUCUCUGGGGCAG